rnacentral:lncRNA from 1 species
AGGGUUAAAUCUCAACGCCACUUCCAAUCUGACUCUGCCCCCACCCUUUCUCUCUCAGUUCAGACUUGGUUCCUUCAACCUAAACAAAGUUACAAAGCCAACUGAAGUCAUUCGAGAACUCAUUUGUUACUGCCUGGACACCAUUGCAGAAAAAGAGGCCCAAAACGAACACCUACAGAGAGAAAAUGAAAGACUCCUAAGAGAUUGGACCGAUGUCCAAGGCCGAUUUGAGAAAUGUGUAAGUGCCAAAGAAGCCUUGGAGGCAGAUCUGUAUCAGCGAUUUAUCUUGGUGCUGAAUGAGAAGAAAACAAAGAUCAGAAGUUUGCAUAAAUUGUUAAAUGAAGUCCAGCAGCUGGAAAAGAGUGCCAGAGCUGAAAGGGAAACUACAUGUUCUGAAAAAACACCUGACCACGAUACAAUUUACGACGCGAGCACUGAUGAAGACAGUGGGGCUUCAGGGCCGGCUGCAGCCACGUGUUGUAAAGAUGAUUCCUUAUUUUCAAGUCCUGAUGUCACUGACAUUGCACCAAGUAGGAAGAGGAGACAUCAAAUGCAGAAGAAUCUUGGGACGGAGCCUAAAAUGGCACCACAGGAGCAGCAGCAACAGGAGGAGGAGAGGUGAGAGCAGCCUCAUGGGAGGCUAUUGGAAGGACCAGUAUCUGAGAUCUCUGGUUUUGGUUAAUUCCUGUUAAUGUUAAAGGCAGAAAUGCGGGAAGUAUAU